GAUGAACGCUGGCGGCGUGCUUAACACAUGCAAGUCGAACGGAAAGGCUCCUGCUUGCAGGGGUACUCGAGUGGCGAACGGGUGAGUAACACGUGGGUGAUCUGCCCUGCACUUCGGGAUAAGCCUGGGAAACUGGGUCUAAUACCGGAUAGGACGAUGGUUUGGAUGCCAUUGUGGAAAGUUUUUUCGGUGUGGGAUGAGCUCGCGGCCUAUCAGCUUGUUGGUGGGGUAAUGGCCUACCAAGGCGUCGACGGGUAGCCGGCCUGAGAGGGUGUACGGCCACAUUGGGACUGAGAUACGGCCCAGACUCCUACGGGAGGCAGCAGUGGGGAAUAUUGCACAAUGGGCGCAAGCCUGAUGCAGCGACGCCGCGUGGGGGAUGACGGCCUUCGGGUUGUAAACUCCUUUCGCUAGGGACGAAGCGCGAGUGACGGUACCUGGAGAAGAAGCACCGGCUAACUACGUG
rnacentral:rRNA from 1 species